rnacentral:rRNA from 1 species
GAUGAACGCUGGCGGCGUGCUUAACACAUGCAAGUCGAGCGAGUGAGUUCUUCGGAACGAUCUGGCGGCGGACGGGUGAGUAACACGUGGGCAACCUGCCUCAUAGAGGGGAAUAGCCUCCCGAAAGGGAGAUUAAUACCGCAUAACAUCAUUGAAGGGCAUCCUUCGAUGAUCAAAGGAGCAAUCCGCUAUGAGAUGGGCCCGCGGGGCAUUAGCUAGUUGGUGAGGUAACGGCGCACCAAGGCGACGAUGCGUAGCCGACCUGAGAGGGUGAUCGGCCACAUUGGGACUGAGACACGGCCCAGACUCCUACGGGAGGCAGCAGUGGGGAAUAUUGCACAAUGGGGGAAACCCUGAUGCAGCAACGCCGCGUGAGUGAUGACGGCCUUCGGGUUGUAAAGCUCUGUCUUUGGGGACGAUAAUGACGGUACCCAAGGAGGAAGUCACGGCUAACUACGUGCCAGCCGCCGCGGUAA